GUGAUAGAUGUGAUGCUGGUGGAGGCAGAGGUGAUGUCGGCAAUGGUAGUGGAGCUAGUGGUGAUGAUGUCAGUGGUGGUGCCGGCAGGGAACGGUUAGGGCGGUGGUGUCAGUGGUGGAGGUGGUAGGGACGGUUAGCGCGGCAGGAUCAAAGCACAGCCGACAUUCCUACCGGCGGAGGAGCUUUGGGGAUGCCUAGCAAGUAACAGCUGGUAAUGAUCGUGAAUGUGAACAAUACCUCCACCCCAGACGCCUGCCACGCCCCCAGGCCAGACUACACUAGUGCCAUGCAACGCCAGUGUCGCCCCCUUUCAACGCAACACUCCGCCAACCUCGCCCAGCCAAGUUUACUUCUCGCCAAAUUGGACACCUCUGGCGGCCACAUCAAAGUGUCGGCGGUCGAGACUCAAACCGGCCGUGUGUACACCCAUGUAUACCACCUGCCUUGUGUGUGUGCACCCACCCAGGACCACCAUCCGACGUAUAUUUCACCUCGCAUGUGGCACUGUUCAACUGUAUGAAGGAUGCACACUGUACGCCAGGGAGGCCGGAACACAUGAGGGCUAUCGGGUAUCCCCGGGUGCCUGGGUGCCAGCGAGACGCAACCCACCACCCGUCUUGCACCAGGACAGAGCUCUGGCGUGUUCAGCAGACACACCCACCCACCCACACCCACCCAUCCGCUCACACCCAUCCGCAUCACGUCUGAAUACGAGCUCACUAUGAAUGAGGUGACCAACUGUUGUAUUCACUCAUAAUAUGAAUCAAUUAAGACAGUAGUGUCAGCAUGUGGAACACACACACACACACACACACACACACACACACACACACACAUAAGUAUCUCUGGUUUUCCUUCUAAAGAUCAUCAAAACAGCUUUCCUUUUAAAACCACAGGCUUUCCAUUCCUUGUCCCCACCAUGGAGCCUCGGGCAGCGGGCAGCGGGCAGCGGGUAGGGAAGCACAAGGAUAGGGUGGGUGACCGUACUACUCUGUGACAACCUUCGCCCGGCAGGACAAUCUUAUCAGCAACGCACAUUAAGAAGCACAUUCGCUGUGGAAAUGUUGUAGCCUUGGUACCGCCAACCCCUGGUGAUGACAAGGACUAGCUAGCACUCUCAGACGACCAAUGUACCACAGAGACACGAUCCCACCCCAUAUCACUACAAUAAUUAAAUACCAAACGAGACUUGUAACAGUUAUCAAAAAACACACAUGGCACAGGUUUAACAUGCCCAUAUGAAGGUUCAACUAAAGCUCCUCAAUAACAAAAAUAGAUAAAUAGAUAAAUAAAUAAAUAAAACAAAUAAAUAGAAUAAAAAUAAAAAAAUAAGGUGUCCAAAUAUGACAAUUGUCUUAAGUUCUGCGCUCCUGUGGUUAUAAUUAACUUAGAGGCUGGAAUGAAAUAUCAGUAAAUCCUACUAGU